rnacentral:rRNA from 1 species
UGAAUACGAGACGCUACGGCGUCGAAGCAGUCUAUGUCAUACUUCCAAGAAAAGCUUGCACUGUCAUAAACAAAUAAUGCCUGUACCAUAACCGACACAGGUGGGUAGGUAGAGUAUACUAAGGGGCGCGAGAUAACUCUCUCUAAGGAACUCGGCAAAAUGACUCCGUAACUUCGGGAGAAGGAGUGCCUUAUUUAUAAGGUUGCAAUAACAAGAUCCAAGCAACUGUUUAUCAAAAACACAGGUCUCCGCUAAGUCGUAAGACGAUGUAUGGGGGCUGACGCCUGCCCAGUGCCAGAAGGUUAAAGAAGUUGGUUAGCAUUAGCGAAGCUGAUAACUGAAGCCCUGGUGAACGGCGGCCGUAACAAUAACGGUCCUAAGGUAGCGAAAUUCCUUGUCGGGUAAGUUCCGACCCGCACGAAAGGCGUAAUGAUUUGGAUACUGUCUCAGAGGGGGGCUCGGUAAAAUAGACUUGUCUGUGAAGAUGCGGACUACCUGCACCAGGACAGAAAGACCCUAUGAAGCUUUACUGUAACUUGAAAUUGAAAUUGGACUUUAUUUGCGCAGUAUAGGUGGGAGGCAUUGAUAAUAUUCUUGCGGGAAUGUUGGAGCCAUCAGUGAGAUACCACUCUUGUAAUGUUAGAUUUCUAACUUUGGAUCAUUAUCUGGUCAAAGGACAGUUUCAGGCGGGCAGUUUGACUGGGGCGGUCGCCUCCUAAAUGGUAACGGAGGCGCACAAAGGUUUCCUCUGAACGGGUAGAAAUCGUAUCUAGAGUGUAAAGGCAUAAGGAAGCUUGACUGUGAGACCUACAAGUCGAGCAGGGACGAAAGUCGGUCUUAGUGAUCUGACGGUGCUGAGUGGAAAGGCCGUCACUCAACGGAUAAAAGUUACUCUAGGAUAACAGGCUGAUCUCCCCCAAGAGUUCACAUCGACGGGGAGGUUUGGCACCUCGAUGUCGGCUCAUCGCAUCCUGGGGCGGUAGUACGUCCCAAGGGUUGGGCUGUUCGCCCAUGAAAGCGGUACGCGAGCUGGGUUCAGAACGUCGUGAGACAGUUCGGUCCAUAUCCGGUGUAGGCGUUAGAAUAUUGAGAGGAGCCUUCUUUAGUACGAGAGGACCGAGAUGGACAUACCUCUGGUGUACCAGUUAUCGUGCCAACGGUAAACGCUGGGUAGCUAUGUAUGGAGAGGAUAACCGCUGAAAGCAUCUAAGUGGGAAGCCCACCUCAAGAUAAGUAUUC